rnacentral:rRNA from 1 species
UCCAGAGGUCUCAAGCGUUGUUCGGAUUCAUUGGGCGUAAAGGGUGCGUAGGCGGCGCCGUAAGUCGGAUGUGAAAUCUUCGGGCUCAACCCGGAAACUGCAUUCGAUACUGCGGUGCUUGAGGACUGGAGAGGAGAUCGGAAUUCACGGUGUAGCAGUGAAAUGCGUAGAUAUCGUGAGGAAGACCAGUGGCGAAGGCGGAUCUCUGGACAGUUCCUGACGCUGAGGCACGAAGGCCAGGGGAGCAAACGGG